CCUGAAACAACAGCUGUCUGCUGGACUCAGGAUUCAAAGAGAUCUGUGAGGGGACUGAAGAAAUCUAAGCUAAAGAUAUUAAAACUUUCAAACUGCAGUAUCACAGAAGAAGGUUAUAAAUCUCUGGCUUCAACUCUAAAAUCAAAUUCAAACUUGGUGGAGCUGGAUCUCACAGGAAAUGAUCCUGGUGAAUCAGGAGUGAAAGAAGCUCAGUGAUUCACAAAAGGGAUGGAGGGUUUUCAUCAAAAAACACUGAAAAACAAUGAGGUUUUUGGGUCUUGCUGCAGAAGAAGCCUGUCAGUUUGUGACUGGAAAUUGUGGGUGAAAACACGAUUACUCCUGAGAGAGCUGAAUCUGAGUGGACGUGAACUAGGAGACACACGAGUGAAUCAGAUCACUGCUCUACUGCAGGAUAAACACUGUAAACUCAAAGCUCUUCAUCUGCGUAAGUGUGGUCUAACAGAGGAAAGCUGUUUAGCUCUCGCUACAGUCCUGAGAUCAAAACCCCAGUCUGAAAGAGCUUGACAUAAGCAACAAUAAUCUGCAGGAUUCAGGAGUGAAGAAACUCCAGAAAGGAUUAGAAGAUAAAAACUGUGCACUGCAGAAACUCAGACUUUCAAACUGCAGUAUCACUGAAAAAGGUUACAAAGCUCUGGCUUCAGCUCUGAG